ACCCAUCAAUGUCAUUGUAUUAACCCGUUCCGAAAAAACCCACCGCACCACGACCUUUGCCCACCGCACGCACGCACGAACCCCCACACGACGACCUUUCCCACACCCCGCACCUCCUCCUCCCAACGACCAGAGCAUGGUCGGGCCUUCGCCGCCGGCCGCCGCCCGCCCAUCCACGGUCAAGCCUCCGCCGCCGCUCCACGGCCAAGCCUCCGCCGCCGUUUGCAGCCGCCAUGGAAUGCCUGGAUGUCGUCAAGAUGCACGCAGGUGCAGCACCUGCAACGGAACGGAAGACCACCGAUGCUCUGCUCUUGAGACAACAGAUGCACGCAGAGGCUAGAUACAUACAUAGCAAUCGUCAGGCUCCAGUUUUGUACUGACCACUCCAAGGCUUGUUCAACCUGGUGAAUCUUUCCUUCAUCUGCAUCGUUUUUCGCUUCAGUCUGUACAUCCUCGCCCUCCGCACAUCCUCGCCCUCCGCCCGCCGAUCCUAUUCUCCGCCGCCCGCCUUCCUCUGCUCCUCCUCUGCCGCCAACGAUCUCAUCUGAGCCAGUACAGAAUAUUGCCACUCAUCAACAUCUGCAACAUCUAAGGAAAUCAUGUUUAACUAUCAAUAAGUGAUCCCAUUUCUUGGCUCAGUGAAGUGAUUAUGUGGAUCUUGUGAGGAAAACAGAUAGGCCAAUAAGCCUGGGAGGUUGUCUACAGUCACUGGCCUGGUAUGUGACCUGCUUGCAUCUUUUCCUGAUUACCUCACAACUGCAGUUGUCUACGUUUUAUGUUAACCAUCAUUUUAUCAAUUUAAUUCUCGAGUUUGUUUCUCAAGCAAGACAAUCCACCAAAGUAUCACCCACAGUCCCGUGAAGAAAAAUGAGACACACUGUUCUUGCAACUUUCCGUUUUUAGGCCUUGAUGCAUUCCAGUCAGAGAAGGUGAUGGAGACCCUUAGACAGCUUGCAGAAGAUGGGCACACGGUCAUAUGCUCUAUACACCAGCCGAGAGGCUCAGUCUAUAGCAAAUGUGAUGACAUUGUGCUACUCUCAGAGGGAGAAGUUGUAUAUAUGGGGCCGGCAAAAGAAGAACCUCUAAAAUACUUUGCGUCAUUAGGGUACCAAUGCCCAGGUCAUGAGAACCCCGCUGAGUUCUUGGCUGAUCUCAUUUCCACUGAUUAUAGCUCAGCUGAAAGUGUACAGUCAUCACAUAAAAGGAUUGAGAACCUAAUUGAUGAUUUUGCAAAUAAGGUUCUAAUUACUGAAUUUAACAGUCCAGUAACACAGUCGGAGGGCUCUGAAUUUUCUACCAAACCUGCUCAGAAGUCCACUAGCAAGCAAAGACGUGGUUGGUGGAGACAAUUUCGUUUGAUAUUCAAGAGAGCAUGGAUGCAUGUUUUUCACGGAGCCUUGUCUGAUAGUGUCUUCCAGCUUUUUUCCUGCUUCUGCCUUGAAAUUCGUUGAUAGGUUAUUUUGGCGUGUGUGUUUAGCUUAAAAUAAACCGGACCUAUACUGUAGCAAAUUCAGGGGAUCUAUCUUUUCAAUAUUUACUGUAAGUUGACACUUGGUGGCAUGUUGUGCUUUCACCAACUCUGUGGCUGAUGUAGCUGCAACAUGUAACUACUGCAUGAAAUGUGUAAGUAAACCAAGUAAUUUACCUGAGCUUAGCUGCCUGAAAUCUAAAUGGUUGUUUACCUGAAGAUUGACUAUCUAUUAGUUGAUUCUGAGAAGUAUUUCAGGCUUUUUGUGAUGGACCAACAAACAAAGUGAGAGCAAGAAUGUAUGUUACUUCAACAAUUAUAUUUGGAUCAGUGUUCUGGCGAAUGGGGAAAACUCAAACUUCCAUACAAGAUAGGAUGGGACUUCUUCAGGUGGCUGCCAUAAACACAGCAAUGGCUGCUCUGACAAAGACGGUGGGGGUUUUCCCGAAAGAACGAGCUAUAGUUGACAGGAACGUGCAAAGGGUUCCUAUGCACUAGGACCAUAUCUCUCUUCUAAGAUGCUGGCCGAGAUUCCGAUUGGAGCAGCAUUUCCAUUGAUAUUUGGAUCCAUUCUCUAUCCAAUGGCUAAACUUCAUCCUACAGUUUCUAGCCAUUCUUGGAAGAAUGCAACUGCAGCUUAAUUGGAGUUGAACUGGAGGUAACAUUUGGAAUUACUUGGAAGUUGGAACACAAGUGGAGUGUGUUAUGACGAUUGCUCAAAGGAACUUUGGUCAUAUUGCUUGACAACAUGUCAAUCACUCUUCUGCAACUCAGAUAAAAACAAUUUGAAUUAAAAAAAUGCAAAAUCGAGUUUGAGUUGAUAGGGUAUAUAUAAUAUCUGAAAACAAAUAGAAAACAUGCCAGUGUUCCGAGAAUGCAACAUCCCAGUCCACGACAAGAAAAAAUGAUCAGCUAAAUUUCUUGACUCAUAACAAGAGUCAGUGGCUUGCAUUCUCCCAAAUGCUUUGUAUCAUUUGUUGAAAUUCUAGACUCCUUUUAUUCCAUAUUGUUGAUAUCUAUGCAACUAGAGCAGCUAAAUUAUUAAGUGUUUUUUAGUACACCUGAUCAAAAACAGUUGUUGACCUUUUGCGAGUGCACCUUUGCAAAUACUGGUAGAAAGUUGUGCAUCUGUGCCUGCCAAGCUGUAACAGGCAGUGUUCACAGGCUGAUAUAUUUUUUGAUUCGGUGAUUUGAUUGAUCACAACCCGACCAGCACAAUGUAUCUUCUAUGGCUUGCACUUUAUGUCCACAUUUACUAUAGUGAUGGACUAUCUAAUGCUCAGCAAAAUUUCUACAAGAAUACAACUUUCGCUGAAAGCCUAUUCUUAUAUUUGUUUCUAUUCUCAACAUUCAUUUUUAUUUGUGUCCUCACUGCGUUCUUCCUUUCUAGGAAUCAGGUCUAUAUUUUUUUUUACCAUUCAAGGCAUAUGUGCACACAGAAGCCGUUUUGCAUGUAUCUGAAUCUUCCUGUCUGGUACUUGUGCUGGGAAGCAAAAUGUGAAAACAAAAACCAAUACAUCCAGAUUGUGCAUUAUUUUGGUGUGUUUUCAGUUUCCAUAGCUUUUCAUAUGAAUGUGAAUAUACAUGCCAUAUUUUCUAUUGCAAGGUGCCAGAGGACAUGUUGCAGAGAGUAUUACCAAUUACAAUUCAAACUUACUGGAGACAGUUACCACUUGCAAUUCACAUUAUUAUGUAUUUGGUUUGCUCACUCUUUAUCCCCUCGUACUUGUUGAUGGUAUUGCUCAUACUAUACUUUUGGCCAACAUUGCACGCAUGAUUUCUAGCAAAGAACAUGUGUUAUUCUUGUUUAAAUAGGGAACAUGUGACAUUCUUUAUUUUUAUUUGAAUGGGAACAUUUUUCUGUUAAGAACAUUUUGUAAGGCCAUCAAAGAUGCACGUCAAAGGAGUAAGGCCAUGCCCUUUUGGCCGUCCAAUGGAAAGCAACAAAGUGAAACCAUUCUAUGUCCUAAUUUUUUCUUGCUUUAAAUACUCUUAGCUUUAGCUAUAUCAGUCAAUACGUGCACUGAACGAUAUGAUUACUAUGAUUUUUUUUUGAGAAUUUACUAUGAGUCUAUUAUGAAUGGCAUUGAGUGUCAUUGUCGUAUCCUUUUACUGAUUUUUCUUUAUGGUAAUAAUGAUAAAAAAGAAGCAUAUUGUGGUGUAUGAAAUAUUAUCGUACUACAAGAUAAUUUUAUAUUUUUAUACCAUUUCCUCUUUAGUAUACAUGUGUUAGUAACUUUUGAUUGACUUCAAUCAGACACGCAAACUGUAGACUUGGACAUACGGUCACUUGUUACAUACAUUUAUUAAUCUUUAAUAUUAUUUGCACCUUCUUCAUUUGUCCUUGUGAAUUAGUUUUUUCUUCUACUAAAAACACUAUUAUUUAGUGAAACAUGUGUAGAUAAUUUUCGCAAAAAGAAGAAACAUGUGUAGAUUAAAAAAAUUCACAAAAAGAAGAAACAUGUGUAGAUAAAAAAACUAUGUAAAACUAGACAACUAUUUUCAUAAUUAUUUUGUGGCAAUUAAGACGUGUGUUGCACGUGCAAGCUUACUAGUAUAUUUCUAAAGAACUCUCAGAUAAAUACAUGAACAUAUAUCGAGUAAUAGAGCAAGAGUUAAAAGGGUAAUCUCUUGCCAAGAACGCAGUGCUUUGCCUCUGUAAAAUUUUGAGUUUGAAGUACAAAUGCAAUAAUGGUGUACCAUUUUUUAAAAGCGUGAUCCAGCACCAGUAGAGUAGGUAAAUUAGACAAUCUUUUCACACCUUAGCCUAAGUUGCUAGCUUCACACUAUUUCUUAUGAAUAAAGAUUCUGAGAUGGUAUAGAGUAUAAUCCAUGCAGAUAUUCCUGGAAUAACUAACUUGGAAUUGCACUAACUAAAACAGGGAGGAAUUGUUAAUGUAGGAUAAAGUCAAUCCUGGUUCAAAAUUUAACCUGGGCAGAACAAAAGCUAAUGCCUGCUUCUUUUAUUUUGU